AGAACAAACAAAUAGAAUAAGAAGGAAGCCCACACCCCAGUCACCCGGAGGCCCGGAGUUCAAGAGGACUAGGUUUCUGUUUGGCAGUAUUGGCAAAGGAAACACGGCCAAACAGUGACCUGCUUCUGCCAGACAGACCGAGUUCCUAAAGGCUCACCCUCCAGCUCCCACAAACAGCACCAGCCUGGGAAACAAAUGUUCCAAGCAUGAGAGAAACAAAAAUGAGCCCCAGGUGCUUGGCAAAGUAGUCUGAUAUUGGAUGGGGACCCAUUAUCCUUGACCUUCACAUCUUUACCUCUUCGGACUCAUGGAGAAUCCCCAGAAACUACUUCAGGCUCUCCUCUUCAAUUACCAAGACAACCUUAGCAUUUCUCCAUCUUGCAUUCUUUAGAAAACAAUUCUGACAGGUGACUGCCACCAGCUAUCACUUCUGAAGCCAGCAAUGAAAUGCCAGAGGAGGAACAGUUAAUUACAAUUGUAGACUCCAUUUUGCAUCCUUUCAUAGUCAAUAAAUAUACAAUUAAAGAUGCCUCUCAGCACACGAUGCAGCAGGUAUAAGAUUCCUUUCUCACUUGACAGAGAACCAUUUCAUGGCUUUUUCUUGUCAUAUGUAUAUCGACACAUCACAUCACCUGUCUUAUGCUUUCAGAUGACUCCAGAUGCCAUUCUGAGACACCGUACAGAAGAAGCAUGUUUCCAGACCUUUCGGGCACAGCCAGGUGAUGAGAGACAACCACAAAGGGACGCCAGGUGCAAGACCUUAGCCACAGCCAUCGGGACACUCGAUACAGCCAACAAUCAAUCAUCAAGCUAAAUGCUCCAACAGUAAACACUGAUGGGAAACAGUGUCCCAGGCCCUAAAGAGAAGGAGAUAAACAAGACAGCCAAAAUCCCUACUUUUGUGGAAAUUAUACUAAGACAAUAAUCAGAUGAAUGAGAAUUUAUGAUAUGCUGUUAGGGAGUGCCCUGCCCCGUAAAGAAAAUCAAAGCAGGUUAAAGAGACAGAGAAUGCUAAGGGAAGAGGACCACUAUGGUAGGAAUGGUAGGAAAGACAGAUUUUUCUCAGGGGAUAAUGGCUGAGCUAAACCCCGAGUAUGAUGGAGGCAAAGACACAAAUAGAGGGAAAGACAGACAGAAGCAGCAGCAAAUACAAAGACGUUGAUAGCGGAGCACGUGUGGCCUCUCUGCAGAACAGCAAGAGAGCAGGAGAGCAGCAUGUGAUGCAGCGAUGGAGAGAAAGGUCAAAUCUUGAAGGAUGUGAAACGGGGCCGAGAGACUGGACCCCACCUGUGGAUGCUACAGAUCUACCACCAUGCUUUACCCAUUGUGCAGAGGACCAGUGAGAGAGGCUGGUGGUGGUUACGAAGACAGGCAGCCUUGGAGAUUGAUUGGCUGGGGGAGAUGAGGUGGUUGUCUCUGCUUGCUUUUAUUUCCCCAUAGUAAUCUAAAUGAGGGGAUCAGCUUAGUGGGAGAACUGGGAUGGGAGCUGGGGGUGGACGUAAGUGAAGGUCUUCAACAGUUGUCUCAGAGAGUGGAAGUGUUGCUUACUUUUGCUGGGAUCCAAGAGUCCCUUCCCCACUUAAGAGUGACUUUCUAUCUCUAACAAAUUGAGUAACUUCCAAAAUUUUCCCUGAAUAUCAUGUUUCUUGCUUUUGUGUAUGAGAGAAUAUGAAGAUGUGUUAUUUGGUAUUCGAGAUGAGGCAAAAAGUAUUUUAAUUAAUUACGCUGUAAGUCUGCAAUUGUGCUUCAACAAAGUAGUAAAAUGCUGUGGACAAGCUUUUCUCCCAUACCCACCUAACAACACACAGGCAUCAAGAAUGGUGUCCUUACUUACCAUGUUCCUUAGAGCUUGACCCCAAAAUCACAAGCC